rnacentral:rRNA from 1 species
AUACGAAGGGGGCUAGCGUUGUUCGGAAUUACUGGGCGUAAAGAGUACGUAGGCGGUUUGUUAAGUUAGAUGUGAAAGCCCCGGGCUUAACCUGGGAACUGCAUUUAAAACUGGCAAACUAGAGUUGGAUAGAGGGAAGUGGAAUUUCAGGUGUAGCGGUGAAAUGCGUAGAGAUCUGAAGGAAUACCAGUGGCGAAGGCGACUUCCUGGACUCAAACUGACGCUGAGGUACGAAAGCGUGGGUAGCAAACGGAAUUAGAAACCCUAGUAGUCC